ACUCCUACGGGAGGCAGCAGUAGGGGAAUCUUCCACAAUGGGCGCAAGCCUGAUGGAGCAACACCGCGUGAGUGAAGAAGGGUUUCGGCUCGUAAAGCUCUGUUGUUAAAGAAGAACACGUAUGAGAGUAACUGUCAUACGUUGACGGUAUUUAACCAGAAAGUCACGGCUAACUACGUGCCAGCAGCCGCGGUAAUACGUAGGUGGCAAGCGUUAUCCGGAUUUAUUGGGCGUAAAGAGAGUGCAGGCGGUUUUCUAAGUCUGAUGUGAAAGCCUUCGGCUUAACCGGAGAAGUGCAUCGGAAACUGGAUAACUUGAGUGCAGAAGAGGGUAGUGGAACUCCAUGUGUAGCGGUGGAAUGCGUAGAUAUAUGGAAGAACACCAGUGGCGAAGGCGGCUACCUGGUCUGCAACUGACGCUGAGACUCGAAAGCA
rnacentral:rRNA from 1 species